GAAUUGGGGAAUGAAUAAUCUAAACCAUAAAAUGAAUAAUUUAAACUGACCAUUUUGAUAUUUCCUUAAAAUGGGAAAUCAAUUUGACAGAUCGGUGCAAAUUAGGACGAAGUUGAUGAUUCACUCCUAACAAAUCUGACUAGCCGGUCUUUCGAUCUAAAACCCUGGUUUGUCGAUGUUGAUAUCUAUCUCCCUCGCUACCGCACUUCUGUCACGUGCGUUCUUCUUCAAGUUCUGCCGUUGUGUCGUCGCCACUGAAAGUUCGGGGUUUUGUAAUAUGGAAGAAGACUCUUGUUCUCUUUUAGUAAUUUGAUACAAGUUAUGGGCUUUUACACUUGGAUAUUAAUCAAUACUGAGGUAUGUGGGGAUGGUAUAAAUUGCAUGCUUUUAAGGCAUAGAAUUGCAUGUUAAGUAUUGAUCCUGAGAAUUUGCUAUGACUUGAUGGUAUUGAUGAGCCAUUACAGUGUUAUCUUGGAGUAAUAAUUAGCCAGAGCAUAUGUGCAACGGUGAAAGUGUCCGCUUCAGAAAUGUUUAUACCUAAUUUCUUGAAAGUUGAAUGCAAGCGAAAUCUUAUCUUAGAGUAAUAUUUACCUUUUUGUUUACAUUUGUUGAAUCACUUUAAAUUGGGAAGUGAACAUCGAAUCGAAACAUUUGUGGAGUCUUAGUUAAGACUGUUCAGUUGCCCCCUUUAGUUCAAUAUUUUUGAAGUUAUAUAAGUAAGUUAUCACAGAUAUACUUGCUAUUAAAGAUGUAGCAAGUUCAAUGAUUUCAAGUCUUAGAGUAAAAGUGUACAAACCAAAUAAAUUUCAUAUGAAUACAGACUAAAUAAGUCAUAGAGUACAGUGUACAAACCAAAUAAAUCUCAUGUUUCAGUAUUAUAAUUUAUUAUAGUUUAAUCCUCAAAUAGUUGGUCUUAGAGACGAGUCUCUAGAAUGGUUGAAGUAAAAAUAGGUUUUGGAUGAUGUGAGAUACAAAUCUGAAUUAUCCCUUGAGAGUAAUAUAAGGAGUCACUGGAGUGUAUACCUUUAUUUGUCUCCGAUCUGUUUGUGGAACCAAUUAUGUUUUUAGAUACUGUUUUUGCUCGUCACCCGGAUGCAUCGACUAUGGUUACAGUAUCGGAAUAGUUCCUUGUGCAGAAUUUAACUUGAAUCAUGUCUCUUUUAUUCAAUCAUCACCAAUGUUUUCUUUUUAACAUGUAUAAUGUAUUUAUAGUUUAUACUGUCAUCUGCAAAUUGUAUGUGGGUACUUCAUUAAUUGUUCAUUGCUUUCAGCUGUUUUGCUGAAAGUAGAAAAAAGGGGCGAUGAUUACAAUGAGAGAGGUCUUUAGUGGGAAAUACCCUAUUUGUUCGGAAAAUCAUAACCCAACUUCUAUCAGAGUUAGGAUCCUCUCCAUUUAUCAAUAUCAACAAAAAAAUUAAAAGAAAAUGAAAAUGAAGAAGAUUAGAACUUGAACGUGCCGCCAUACCCUUUUCACCAAAAGGGUCUGGCUUUGGCAUCUCAUAUUCUAUCUUCGUCUUCUUUCUCCUCUUCCUCUUUCUCUUACUGUCCCUUCAUAUUGAAUUGGGUUUUUUCCACAGUGACAGAGCUUUCUUAAUUUACACUUGAUAUGAGCCCCUCAACUUUCUGAUUUUCCAUCAUUAUUAUUAUUAUUAUUAACUUAUUUGUUUUUAAAAAUUAGUUUUGUUCAGAGUUGUAGUGUUUUUUCUUGCGCUGAUUUUAUUUUGGAUGAGGAAACACUUCAUGUUCUCGUCAAAGAUUCAGUGCGGACAGAAAAAGCUUGAUUUUAGCUACUGCUUGUUUCUGACGAACAUAUUUUUCAGAAUAUGGUGGAUUUGUUGUAAUGUGCGGACAGAAAAAGCUUGAUUAUAGCUACUGCUUGUUUCUGACGAACAUAUUUUUCAGAAUAUGGUGGAUUUGUUGUAAUUCGGCAGCGGCUCGACAACCGUGGAGAUGGAAUCCACAGAUGUUGAGUUUUUUCUUGUCUCACACUUCUACUAAUUCCAUCUCACAUUUUUUUCUUAUUUGUUAUCUGCUAAUUAAAUUAAUUGUUCAUUUGGAUGUAAUAUUUUUGAUAUUGAAAUAACUUUUUGGGGAUUAAUAAAAAGGAAGAAGACAAAGUAUUAUGUAAUCAAUUUGCUGCUUUUGCAUUUGCACUCUUUUUUUUUUUCCUUUCUUUUAAUUUGAUAAAAAUUAAUAGUUUUGAAUGGGAAGCAUUUGUUGUUUACCUGUUAUUGACGGUGUAGCAACUUCAAUGGUUUCAAUGCAGCAGAUAUGAAAACUUAAUAUUAAUCAAUGUUCCUGAGACUGGAAAGGCAAUCGUAUAGAAAUGCAUGAUAAGCAAUGUUCCUAAGAAUUUGGUGAAACAUUGAUGAGUCUUUACCGUGUGAACUUUGUGUUGUGGCAUAUUGGAUUGAGGAAUUUUUCAAGGGCUGUCUGUGUACCAUUUUUUAAGUUAAAAUCAUGUGCUAGUUAUAGAAAAACAUAUCACUUGUUUGUGACUGUAUAUACAAGCAAGUGCUGUACUUUGCCUCUCUUUGUUCUUGCAUGAAAUGAUGGAUAUACUGCGUCUUUGCAAUUGGGUGAUCGUUGAUUAUGUUUUUGUUUUUAAGGUGCUGCUUCAGAUAUCAUGCAAUGCACCUCUGGUAGUCUGGUUAAGUUUUUGUUCAAUAAGUUAUUAUAGGAAAAGGAUAUAAACAUUUACAAGUUAACAAGUUAAACGUUGAACUUUCUGAGUUAAGUUUCAGCUAAUUGCCAAUGCUCUAUUCUGUAUAAAGCGUGGGUUAGAUUCAUUGUUCAUUGCUUUCAGCUGAUUUGAUGAAGGUAUAAAGAAAAGGGAGAUUAUUAUAACGAGAGAGGCCUUUAGUGGGAAAUAAUAAUCAAUUCAAUCGGAAAAUCAGAACCCUAACUUCUAUCAGAGUUAGGAUUUGCUCCAUUUACCAAUAUCAACGAAAAGUGAAAAGAAAGUGAAAGCAAAGGAGGUCAGAACUGGAAGGUGCCGUCACACCCUUGUCACCAAAGGGUUUUGACUUUGGCAUUUUUUUUUAUUUUUAUUUUUUUGUUUUUUGUCUCACACUUCUACUGAUUCCAUAUCACAUUUUCUUAUGUUUAAGUGUUCAUUUUCAUGCAAGUUAACAAUUUUGAUGUGAAUUUCGGGGUUUUAUAAUAAGGAAGAAGACAGUAUUAUGGAAUCAAUUUGCUGCUUUUGCAUUUGCACUAUUUCUUGCUCUCUUUUAAUUUAAUAAUAAUUAAUAGCUUUCACAUUUUUCUAUUAAUCAAAAUACUGAAUAAAGUUAUGUGGGGAUGGUAUAGAGUUGCAUCCUAAUAUUAAGUUGUUUAGCAUAUGUGCAAUGUGUUAGCUAAAGACAUGUUUAUACCAUCUCUUACAUUAAUUUUUAUAAAUGUUUGUCCAUUAAGUUCAAAUUGUGAACCAAACAAUGAAUUGAAACGUUUGUAGAUGUUGAUGCCUAAUUAAGACUGUUCAAUCGCCCCCUUAUUAUUGAAGAUGUGGAACUUCGUUUUGAUGCAGCAGAUAUAUGAAUACAUUAUUAAAGAAAUCUUUAGACAAAAGACCUAAUAAUUCACGGUUUUCAGUAUUGUGAGGAGGUGAGCUGGAAGCAUAAUGCAGGGGUUGUUCUGUUUGCAAUAAGUAACUGCUUGGUUAGAAAACAUUAGAUAAUGAUGCUGUAAUUUUUAUACUAAUCAUGUUAUAGGAGGUUGAGAGAUGUAGAUUGCUGUAAUAUAUCCUCUUAGCAAGUUGAUUGAUCCGGAGUUUGUGAUUGUACUAUUUGUAGAUUUCUUUUUAUAUAAGUAGUGAUUGAUAAAAAAAAAAAUUUGUUCAUUUUUUGUUAGUCUCUGAUUGGGGUUUUUUAAGCCAAUGGUGCUUUAAGAUAAUUUUUUUUACGUUGCUAGUCACCCUUGUGCAGAAACUAUGGUUACAUGAACAGUUUGUUGUUUGAUUGAGAAUUGGAGAAUUUCAUGUAAAUGUGUCACUGGCUUGCUUUUUUUUGUGUGGAACUUACAGUUGCUGUAAUUAAUCUUCAUUGUACGAACAAUGCCAGUAGGGCUAUUAGGAAAUGGUUUUGCAAUCUUUUGCUAAAAAAGUAAAAUGAUAAAAGGAGGAUGAAGGUGGAGCGAGAGCUGCAAACUUGUGUUGAUUGUGGGGAAUACUACAUAAAAGACCCAUCAUGACAUCAAUUCUAAUUUGUCACAAUUCAUGGCAAAAAAAGGUAUGUUUUUGUUUAAUUUAACAUAUUGUUCUCUUGAUUCAUUUCAUUACUUAUCUUCAUUACCGCUUUUAAAAAGACUUGUUGGACCCUUUUCUCUUAGUAUCAGAACUAUUUGGCCUUUUGAACGUGUAAUUUAAGGGCAUUUGAUCCUUUCACUCUAGGAUCUAGAUUGAAUUGUAGUAGAGGAAAACCAUUGAUGAUUAUAAAUGCUGUAUAGAAUUGUUAGGAACAAGAAUGACUACAAAUUGAUGAACAGGGAUCAACCUGUUAAUAUUUUGUAUUUUAUGUUUGAUAAGGUAAAAUAAAUAAAUUUUCAGGGAAAAAUUAAACCCCUAAUAAAAAUGCUUGAUGCUAUGAGUUGUAUCCUUUGUUCGCCACUUUUAGUGUUUCAGCAUUUUGCUGAGCCGAAACUGCAGGGCAGUGAUUAGAAUGAGAGAAGCCUUGAGUGGGAAUACCCAAUUCCAUAGAUAAAUUCGUAUAUAGAAACACUUUUAUUCUCUUCACCCCCCCAAAAAUCAAACAAAACAAAAUCAAAGAAGCUUUGAGCUCAAUGGUGCCGCCGAGCCUUUUUCACCAAUGGGGUUUGACUUUGGUAUCUCAGGUUCUAUCUUCCUCUUCCUUCUCCUCCUUCUCUUUUUUAUUCUUUUAUCGUCCCUUAAAUUGAAUUGGGUUUUCCCCACAGUGACAGAUCAUUCCCUCAACCUUCUGAUUUUAUAUUGUUUUGAUUAUUAACUUAUUUGUUUUAAAAAUUUGUUUUGUGAAGAGUUGUAGUUAUGUUUAUUGCCUGAUUUUGUUUUGGACAAGGAACACUUGUGUGUUGUUUUCUUGUUAAAGAUUCAGUGCGCACAGGAAAAGCUUGAUUAUAGCUACUACUGCUUGUUUUCUGCUUUUCAGAAAAAAUAGUGGGUUUGUUGUAAUUGGGAAGCGGCCAGACAACCGUAGAGAUGGAAUCCACAGAUCUUGAGUUUUUUUCUCACACUUCUACUAAUUCCAUCUCACAUUUACUUAUGAUUAACUGUUAAUCUUAAUUUAUUGGUUUAUUUUGAUGUAACUUUUAUUGUUGGCAUAAAUUUUGGGGUUUUAUGACGUGGAAGAAGACAUAUAGUAGUAUGCAUAUGAAUACACUCUGUUUUGAAUCAA